UACGUAGGGAGCAAGCGUUGUCCGGAAUCAUUGGGCGUAAAGCGCGCGUAGGUGGCUUCGUAAGUCCGUUGUGAAAGUCAAAGGCUCAACCUUUGAAAGCCGAUGGAUACUGCGGAGCUAGAGUACGGAGGAGGCGAGUGGAAUUCCUGGUGUAGCGGUGGAAUGCGCAGAUAUCAGGAGGAACACCAAUAGCGAAGGCAGCUCGCUGGGACGUUACUGACACUGAGGCGCGAAAGCGUGGGGAGCGAACAGG
rnacentral:rRNA from 1 species